CCGUAGGGUGCUCUCUUUCCUCUUCAUUCCUGGUCUUCCAGCGUGCUCCGGCGGUUCGCUAAGACAGGUGUGAAAUCCCCGGGCUUGACCUGGGAAUGGCGCUUGUGACUGGCGGGCUGGAGUACGGCAGAGGGGGGUGGAAUUCCACGUGUAGCAGUGAAAUGCGUAGAGAUGUGGAGGAACACCGAUGGCGAAGGCAGCCCCCUGGGCCGAUACUGACGCUCAUGCACGAAAGCGUGGGGAGCAAACAG
rnacentral:rRNA from 1 species